rnacentral:rRNA from 1 species
GACGAACGCUGGCGGCGUGCUUAACACAUGCAAGUCGAACGGAAAGGCCCUGCUUUUGUGGGGUGCUCGAGUGGCGAACGGGUGAGUAACACGUGAGUAACCUGUCCCUGACUUUGGGAUAACUUCAGGAAACUGGGGCUAAUACCGGAUAGGAGCUCCUGCUGCAUGGUGGGGGUUGGAAAGUUUCGGCGGUUGGGGAUGGACUCGCGGCUUAUGAGCUUGUUGGUGGGGUAGUGGCUUACCAAGGUUAGGACGGGUAGCCGGCCUGCGAGGGUGACCGGCCACAUUGGGACUGAGAUACGGCCCGGACGCAUACGUGAGGCAGCAGUGGGGAAUAUUGCACAAUGGGCGGAAGCCGGAUGCAGCAACGCCGCGUGCGGGAUGACGGCCUUCGGGUUGUAAACCGCUUUCGCCUGUGACGAAGCGUGAGUGACGGAAAUGGGUAAAGAAGCACCGGCAAAUUACGU